rnacentral:rRNA from 1 species
UGGUGGCGAUGCGCUUAGGGGUAACACCCGUUCCCAUCCCGAACACGAUGGUAAAGACCUAAGCGGCCGAUGGUACUGCACUGGAGACGGUGUGGGAGAGUAGGUGGCCGCCAAAUU